GGUGCUCUCCUGUGACGCUCUCCUGUGACGCUCUCCUAUGAUUCUCGCCCGUGAUUCUCUCCUGUGAUUCUCUCCAGUGAUUCUCUCCUGUGAUUCUCUCCAGUGAACAAAGCACAACAUCUGAGACAAAGACAACUGUCAUGUUCAUUAGUGGAACAGUUCCCUUGCCUCGAGGAUUCAGAGGGGUAAAAACUGAUGCUUGGUACACCCUUAGAUGAUGCCACUUCUACUGGUUUCCUUGAGGAACGCCUCAGGAACCUGAGAAAGAGACGUCGGAGACCAGAACGGCUCAACUCUACAUCUGCAGCCGCUGAAGAUAACAGACAAAGCAGGAAUCCUGUAUUGACAAUGAUAUUAGGCCACAUUUUAGUUUGAUGGUUUCCUAGAUGGUCUACUGUAUUUCAGACAUCAGAUGCAAUUUUGUUGAUAUACACAGCUCACUAUAUUUAGGGAAAGAGGGAUUUCCCAGGUGAAAUGUAACUUGAUAUGACAUACUUUUUUGCCAGUGACGACCCGACAUUCAGGGCAGGUGGAGCAGAGUCCCACCUGUUUGGAGUCACACAUUUUUAGCUUAAAAACAUAACAUAAAUAUUCGUGUGGUUUUUUUUCGGGGGGGGGGGGGGCUGUUUUGCAUGUUAUUUUGCCAUUAAUAUGUGUCACAUUUCAGUUCGCAAACAUUGUAAAAAAAAUCAUUUAAUUAAUAAAGCCGCAGAC